AGUGAACGCUGGCGGUAGGCCUAACACAUGCAAGUCGAACGGCAGCACAGUAAGAGCUUGCUCUUACGGGUGGCGAGUGGCGGACGGGUGAGGAAUACAUCGGAAUCUACUUUUUCGUGGGGGAUAACGUAGGGAAACUUACGCUAAUACCGCAUACGACCUUCGGGUGAAAGCAGGGGAUCUUCGGACCUUGCGCGAUUGAAUGCGCCGAUGUCGGAUUAGCUAGUUGGCGGGGUAAAGGCCCACCAAGGCGACGAUCCGUAGCUGGUCUGAGAGGAUGAUCGGCCACACUGGAACGGGGACACGGUCCAGACUACUAAGGGAGGCAGCAGUGGGGAAUAGUGGACAAUGGGCGCAAGCCUGAUCCAGCCAUACCGCGUGGGUGAAGAAGGCCUUCGGGUUGUAAAGCCCUUUUGUUGGGAAAGAAAAGCAGCAGGUUAAUACCCAGCUGUUCUGACGGUACCCAAAGAAUAAGCACCGGCUAACUUCGUG
rnacentral:rRNA from 1 species